rnacentral:lncRNA from 1 species
UUGGUUGGUCACCUAUUAUAUGCCCAGUAACCGGCAUCUCUGGUGUUCCUUCCUUCUGCUCCCUAUUAUGACUUUUUGUCCCCUGUGGAGUCAGAUUUUCCUGAGUUGAAAUAUACCUUUUUAGGUCUUCCUCAGAUGGUUUGGUUGAUUGAUAUCUCUCACCCUUAUACCGGUCUUAGAUACUCAUUCUUCCCGAGCAUGUUGUUCUCUCACCCUUAUACCG